UACGUAGGGUGCGAGCGUUUGUCCGGAAUUAUUGGGCGUAAAGGGCUCGUAGGCGGUUUGUCACGUCAGGAGUGAAAACUCGGGGCUCAACCCCGAGCCUGCUUCUGAUACGGGCAGACUAGAGGUAUGCAGGGGAGAACGGAAUUCCUGGUGUAGCGGUGAAAUGCGCAGAUAUCAGGAGGAACACCGAUGGCGAAGGCGGGUCUCUGGGCCGUAACUGACGCUGAGGAGCGAAAGCGUGGGGAGCGAACAGG
rnacentral:rRNA from 1 species